UUACGGCCACAUCACGUUGAAACACUAGUUCUCGUGCGAUCACAAAAGUUAACCAACGUCGAGCUUGGUCAGUACCUAGAUGGGUAACCGUUUUCGGAAUACCAGAUGCUGGAA